GACCAUGUUACAUCCACGGUGUCUAUGUGUGCAGAUCUGAGCACAGUACUCCAGGUGUGGCCUUACCAGUGGUUAUUCUUGUGGCCUUUUUUUUUGUCUUGCUGCAUUUUGCUGUCUAUUUUAAGAAACUACAAGUGAAAACUAGACGAGUGUGUGUUACUGACUGGCUCAGGAUGGAUAGCUCACCUUGACUAAUGACGAUUAGACUGCGCAGAGGUGUGCUGGAAGAACUCCCAAAAACUCUCAUUGACUUUGAAGAACUAUCUAUUCCAAAUCCCUGCUUUCUUUUAUCAUAUGUCUUAUCAGUCUGCUAUACAGAUUUACUCACAAUAACACUUGUUCGGCAUAUCUUUAAAUGCCUGUAAAAUAAAAUACUUCAGUCUUCA